GAUUAUUGGGCCUAAAGCAUCCGUAGCCGGUUUUACAAGUCCUCCGUUAAAUCCAACUGCUUAACAGAUGGGCCGCGGAGGAUACUAUAAGACUAGGAGGCAGGAGAGGCAAGCGGUACUCAGUGGGUAGGGGUAAAAUCCGUUGAUCCAUUGAAGACCACCAGUGGCGAAGGCGGCUUGCCAGAAUGCGCUCGACGGUGAGGGAUGAAAGCUGGGGGAGCAAACCGGAUUAGAUACCCGGGUAGUCCCAGCUGUAAACGAUGCAGACUCGGUGAUGGACUAGCUUAAUGCUAGUCCAGUGCCGCAGGGAAGCCGUUAAGUCUGCCGCCUGGGUAGUACGGUCGCAAGACUGAAACUUAAAGGAAUUGGCG
rnacentral:rRNA from 1 species